rnacentral:rRNA from 1 species
AACGAACGCUGGCGGCAUGCCUAACACAUGCAAGUCGAACGAUUGCCUUCGGGUGAUAGUGGCGCACGGGUGCGUAACGCGUGGGAAUCUGCCCUUAGGUUCGGAAUAACAGCUGGAAACGGCUGCUAAUACCGGAUGAUAUCGCGAGAUCAAAGAUUUAUCGCCUGAGGAUGAGCCCGCGUUGGAUUAGGUAGUUGGUGGGGUAGAGGCCUACCAAGCCGACGAUCCAUAGCUGGUCUGAGAGGAUGAUCAGCCACACUGGGACUGAGACACGGCCCAGACUCCUACGGGAGGCAGCAGUGGGGAAUAUUGGACAAUGGGCGCAAGCCUGAUCCAGCAAUGCCGCGUGAGUGAUGAAGGCCCUAGGGUUGUAAAGCUCUUUUACCCGGGAAGAUAAUGACUUUACCGGGAGAAUAAGCCCCGGCUAACUCCGUG